rnacentral:lncRNA from 1 species
ACACAGCUUAAAAUGCUUCUGUACCUGAAGGUACGUUUAACCCCUUAAGGACACAUGACAUGUGUGAAAUGUCAUGAUUCCUUUUUAUUCCAGAAGUUUGGUCCUUAAGGGGUUAAACUACGGCGUGACAUUUAGAGUACACUUUAGUCUUUCUGAAAGGAAUCAAAUAUCAGAAUUUACAUUUAAAUAAUAGUAAUAAUAAUAAAAAAAGGUCUUGUGAGGUACAGACUCAUUGGGUCUUCAAAUUCAAAGUAAUAAAAGGUGAUGUGGCAUCAAUUUCGCAUGGGAAAUUUACCAAUAUUAAAUUAUAAUGAGAAAGAUAAAUAUAAUGAUAAUGUAUACAAAGAUAGUGGAGCCUCACGGCCCUCUUUGAGUAAACAGGACAUCUGUCCCUAGCCCCUUAAUCUGCAGGGGGCCACCACAACUGCCCCAUGGGCUCACUGUGCAACCACUAUUGUUUUUAUUGCCAAAGUAACAGACAUUGUGUUGGAGCUAGUUUCUAGUGUAGAGUCUCAGGAUGGUUGAAGGAACACUAUAGAAUUAGGAGUACAAACCUGCAUAUACAGAUACACACCCUGACACACAUACAGUUACACAGACACAUAUACAGACACAUACCCUGACACACAGAUACACACCCUAGCACACAGACACACAGAUACACACUCUGACAGAGAGAUACACAUACUGACAGACAAAUACAUAUACUGACAAGCAGUUACACAGACACAUAUAUACAUACACUGACACACUUAAGAAUACAUACCCUGACACACAUACAGAUACAUGCACUGAUACACAGAUACAGACACUGACACACAGAUACACAUCCUCACACACAGAUACUUAUCCUGACACGCAGAUACACACACUGACAUACCCUGACACACAGAUACACAGGCACACAUGCAGAAACACAGACACACACUUGCAGAUACACAGAGAUAUACACACUGACACAGAGAUACACACCCUUAUACACAGAUACACACCCUGACACACAUGCAGAUACACAGACACAUAUUUACAUACACUGACACACUUAAGGAUACAUACAGACACACAGAUACACACUGACACAUAAACACAAACAUACAGAUACAUAAACUGAUACACUGACACACAGAUACAUACCCCGACACACAGCUACACUGACACACAUGCAGAUACACAUACAGAUACACACAGAGACACAGACACAUACACUGACACACAGACACAUAUACUGAAACACAGAUACAUACAGAGACACACAGAUACAUACCCUGUCAAAGAUGCAGAUACACAGACACAUAGAUACAUACACAUACACAUGGAUACAUACACUGACACUUAAGGAUACUUACCCUGAAACACUUAUAGACACACACACUGACACGCAGAUACAUACCUGACACACAGAUACAUACACCGACACACUUAAGGAUACUUACACUGACACACAUACACGGACACACAGAUACAUACACUGACACACAUGCAGAUACACAGACACAUACACUGACUCACACACAUACAGAGAAAUACACACAAACACCACACACACAUACAGAUACACAAAAACACAUACAUGUCAGGUUCCUACCUUUUGGCUGGCUGGGUCUGGUGGCAGUUAGAAGCCUGCUGCUCUCCCAUUCUGUUAGGGAAAUGCAUUGUUUUAGAGAACUAUGAUGCAGACUUUAAGUUGGUCUGAUGCUGUCCAGCAGUGGUAUGUUGUUUAGUUCUAACGUCUCACCUUAGGAUGUCAUUCAGUAGCAUAUUCCUUAAGUAUUCAAAGGAGUUUUAGAAAGACAAUGCCAGCUGCUGUUGCCCAUCAGGCUACGCUUGUCUCCUAAGGAGGUCUGAAAAAUUGCCUAUUGUGUUGCUAGUGAGUCUUGCUUAUGCGUCUUGAGUGGAAUGUGCUGGACAUUGUAAAUCGACAUAUAAUUAGUUAGGUGGCUCUAGCUUCUUACAGGAGAGUGUGGCGUUGCUAAGGACCUUGUCAAUUGCCACUUGGGCACAGUCACAUUUGGGUUGUCUGUGAGGUUCAGAGAUGUGUGAGCUCGUAGAAAGGUAUAGUGUACAUAGGGGCAUAGGAGUCUCUGGGAGGGGUACCCCGGAGGGGGGGGGAGGGAGAGAGUUGGAGGUCAUGUACAGAUUUGUGUUAAGUCAGGCAGAGUGGGUUAAAUGCACGCUUGUUAGAGUCUGCUUGCAAUCCAGGGGUCUUAUGGAACACCUUCCGAGUGUCAUAGAUUUGAGCUGUCAAUCUGUCCAUUUCUAAGGUCUCUGUGACCUUACGUUUGGUCAGAGAGGGGAUGUUUGUCAGCCCACAGUUCCCCUAGUGCCCUGCGUGCAGCAAGGGCUAAAAGUGCUGCCAGUUUGUUCUCAUGACUGGUAGCAGUGACAGAUGGUUUAGAUAGCAGUAGCACCCAGGGAUCCAGUGGGAAUUGUUUUCCCAAGACCAGUCGCAUUCAUUGACUGAACUUCAAGCCAGUAGUUCUUAAUCCUUGGCAAUGCCACCAACAGUAGAGGUAUGUGCCUGUGUCCCUGCACAUUUUCCAACAGUUUGGCCAUUGGCUUUUGCCAAUCGAAGUGGUGUCAAAAAGCAUCUUAUAAGCCUGUUCCUUGUGGGAGUAGGUGAUGCAAAUCAUUAGGGUGCUGGUUGCUGCUCAGAUGCCUCCCCAGUCUGUCAGCUCAUCAGGGGACCAAGUCACACUCCCACUUGGCUAUGUAUGUUAUGAUGUCAGGGAGAGGUAGAUAUUUGGCCCAUGCUCUGCUUUUCAAAUGAUGUGGGGGCUGCCAGUCCAGUGUGCUUGACAGUGGAUCUCCAUAGUGACAUGUGGAAGGCCAGGUGUGCUUACCUUUGUAAUGGCUUCAGUGGGAUUUGAACUCUGGACUCUUGCUCCUUUGGUCCUGCUCUCUUUCCUCUGAACCACUCAUCUAUUCAUGUUUAUCUCCAGCACUGGGGGACUGAACUUUAUUUGUGGCUGCUCAUGUCUAUCUAGCACACCUGAAGCAUAUCAUUAUUAGCUGGCUAUAUAAGCACUGCCUCGCCCUGGGAACUUCGUCAGUUCAUUGACUCUGGUUCUACUGUUUGGUUCCUGUUCGUAUAUUGAUCCAGUGUUCUCUCAGACUGAUCUGGCUUCCGACCUUGGCUUAUUUCCUUGAUUACUCUGACCUCUGGCUUCCCCUGACUUUGGCUUUCCACAACUCCUCUUCUGGAUAUCUUUGCCUGUACUGCGACUUGGAGCACUAUUUCUGCACAGCCCCCGUGCACAGACUCACAGCACAGGUGGCUUCUUGCCUUGUCAUCUUGGUCUGUGAUUAUUUGCAAGGUGGAGCGUAUAACUCUGCACGUCGGACUCCACACCAGGUAAGGUCCUGACAUAAAUUAACUGACCCAUGGAGUCCGCAGAGUUAUACAAAUUACUCACCUCCCUUGCUCAGCAAGUUUCCAACCUGUCCCGGACUAUAAUGGAUUUGCAGUGAGGUUUGUUAGAAUUUAAAAGAGGCGGUACGCCCAACCCUGGAACCUGCAUUUCCAGGACCCUAUGUCAUAAUGCCUGAUAGGUUCGACGGUUCCCGUUCCACUUUCUCGAUGUUCAAGAUGGACUGUGAGCUCCUGUUUGCCUUGAAACCUAGAACCUACGCCACCAACUUUAUUAAAGUCCGCACCGCUAUUAAUCUACUUUUCGGACGGAUUAGGGUGUGGGCAUACCAGAAGCUGCAGGAAAAAAGUACUGUCUUGGACACCUGGGAGUCAUUUAUGCCUGCGAUGGAUGCACAGUGCUUAACUUCAAGGAAGGAUAUUCCCAAGCCUGCUUCAGGUCCUCGCAGAUCUCGGGUACCUAGAGAAAAGAAAUACAUGUACGAGUAUAACGACCCCAGCCUGUUGCAGCGCGUACCUACCUUUAGGGACCUACCUUGUCACCCUGACGUUACUCAAGUAAGCCUAGAUAUACCAGAGGACAAGGAGGAACCCAUGGAGAUCGACUACGUUCGCACUAGAAUGAGACUGUCGUCUAGAGAAAGAGACCGGAGGAGAGCUUGUGGCCUUUGUUUCUAUUGUGGAGAAAGAGGGCACUUUAUCUCCCGCUGCUUUAUUUGCCCACUUCGGCCUAAGCCUCUACGAGUAGUUACCAUUCAGCUUCACCCUGUCAUCCCUGCAACACAGCCUGAAAAAUGUCAAGGAUGCUGUUGUACAUUUCCACGUUCAGUGACGCAGAAGAGUAGCCCGACUGCGAUGGCUAAUGAUCCCAGUGUUAUCACAAGAACACACAGCCAGUCCUCCCUCAGAUGAUUUACUAAGUUCUCAUGAUUUUGAUGAAGAAUCUGUAGAGAUGCACUACGAUGCUCCCCCCUCAGAUGUCAUGGGUUCAGAGGAUGAAGCUAUGAGCGAAUGUCAAGAACUUAUGACUACUUCUUCUAUCAUCCAAUCCACAGGAAAAACGGAACACUGCAAAACAUCCAUUUGGUGCCCCUGGACUUGUGAAAGCCAGUGAUGGUACUAUCAUGCUGAUUAAAGAACUCUGCCUUUAUGAAAGGAUGCUAUGAGGUAUGUGAACGCUAACCCUCCUGAAGGCACCGCCAAUGAAGUUUCAACAUGCUCUUCCUCACAACCAAUACCUACCUGGGGAAAAAACCUACAAUUUCAUGACUUGUCAAGUAUGGCUUAAUAAAGAAAAAUAAUGACCCCAUCCUUACACUAGGGAUUAGAGAGAAAUAUUAAACUGUAAAAAUCUCAUCUAAGUCGAGAGAGAAUUCCUGUUCACUGCCUAAUAGUGACUUCAAGCAGGGGGUAAUGUCACAAUCUCCAUCAUUACGUAUGGAAGGCAAGGUGUGCUUGCUGUCCUAGUGGCAUUGGGGGGGGAGGGGGGAUUUGAACUCUGGACUCUUGCAGCUUUGGUCCUGCUCUCUUUCCUCUGAACCACUCAUCUAUUCAUGUUUUAGUCUAUGUCCAGCCUUGUCUUAUCUCCAGCACUGGGGGGGCUGAACUUUAUUUGUGGCUGCUCAUGUCUAACUAGCACACCUGAAGCAUAUCAUUAUUAGCUGGAUAUAUACGCACUGCCUCGCCCUGGGAACUUCAUCAGUUCAUUGACUCUGGUUCUACUGUUUGGUUCCCGUUGUUCGUAUAUUGAUCCAGUGUUCUCUCAGACUGAUCUGACUUCUGACCUUGGCUUAUUUCCUUGAUUACUCUGACCUCUGGCUUUCCACAACUCCUCUUCUGGAUAUCCUUGCCUGUACUGCGACUUGGAGCACUAUUUCUGCACAGACUCACAGCCCAGGUGGCUUCUUGCAUAGUCACCUUGGUCUGUGAUUAUUUGCAAGGGUGAGCAACUAACUCUGCACGUCGGACUCCACACCAGAUAAGAUCCUGACAGACAGCUGGUAGGGUGGCCAAAUUCCUAAAUUGGAACAAUCAAAAGAAAUCCGUUGUGCGUAAGCCCUCUUGUUCAGGCAGAUCUGUAUAUUCCAGGUGUCAGCCUAUACUCAAGGUGGGGAAGCAUGGGUUCUUGGCAUAAAGGGUUGCAUAGGCAUAGGGUAGUCCGCUGGGGAUCGCUACUUGAUCGUGUCGAGUUAGGGCAUGCUCACCCUUCCAUGGUCUGGGACAACUUGGCUUCUCCUCCCUACGAACUUGAGGAUUCCCAUACUUCAGCUCGGUCUGGAGUAGCCGCGUGCGUCUGGCGUUUUUCAGCCUCUGUGGUUGGUGGUGUGCGGAGCUCAAUCGGAGCGGCAGGUGAGUGAGAAUUCUGCGCCAUCGGAAGUGAUGAGCUUGCUUUCCGACCGGCCGGUCAGCGUUGUGUCCCCGCAAGGGGUGUUGUGUACCGGGCCGGACUCUCUUUCGGCGAGCAGCGAUAGGCACGAGACGCCGGUGUCUUCCACUCUCCUGAGCCCGGGCCUUAUGUGGAGCCCGUGCCGCAUGUCCAUGGACCCUCCGUUGCUUUUCGGCAGGGUCGUGGGCCUGUGGGAUGACCCUCCAGGUAUCUGGGCGGCUGGUUGGCUUUGCCUCCGUGUGGGCUCCCAGCCCAGAAUAGGAGACGUGGUUCGGCUCUCCGUUGUGUUGGGUCUGCGGCCCAUGUGAGUUGCGGGUAGCGAUGCGGUGCCAGAACCCUUGGACAAGGCGAUCAAACCUGGCCUCGAAAUUUUCCCGCCAGUUCUGGAUGCCUGCCACCUCCAUGUUAUGCGCUGUCUGGAGCUCGGCGGCCAUCUUUGUCUCCUCGUGCUGUCCCUCAGUUUGGGAGAUCUGAGCGGUGCAGGGAGGAGGUUUCCCCGAGUGAGGACCGGGAUAUCCCCCGCCGGUCCAGAGGGGGGGUGACGGGGCUUCAAGCUUGUCAUGGUGCAGUAUGCGGUCCGGGUCAGAGGAUCGGCCGCCUCCUCCAACCUUCAGGCCGUCAUUCUUGCUAGGCCUUGCAGCCAGACGGGCGGAGUUCGCGCUGGAUCCGUGUGCUGCUUGUAUAUUUGUGCCCCUAGAUUGCUCAGCGGUAAGAUGAGGCUGAGGCCAUGCUGUUUUGUGAUGAGUUAUGGGCUUGAAAUGCUUGUAUUCAGCCCUGUGGUGCAGGAGCUGAGCUGGAACACGUCUGGCCAUCUUGGCAGUCAGGCCCCGCCCCCCCUAAGAAAGCCCCUUUUGUCCUGAAAAAAACAAUAUAUAAUUUGUAUGGGAACAGUAAAUGAGAAAGCGGAAAAUUCCAGCCAAACACAAACACCACAAAAGUGUAAAAAUAUGCCUGGUCGCAAAUGUACAACAUCGCAAAAACAGUCCAGUCCUUAAGGGGUUAAGCAUGGGUGCAAAAACAACACUAUGGUCUGCAGACUUUUCGCCUUAUAAUAUCAGUCCAGCUAUGGCAUUAAGAUAAU